GAUGAACGCUAGCGGCAGGCCUAAUACAUGCAAGUCGAACGGUGUCUUCGGACAUAGUGGCGCACGGGUGCGUAACACGUAUGCAACCUACCUUACAUUGGGGGAUAGCCUUUCGAAAGGGAGAUUAAUACCGCAUAAGACAGUAGCUGGGCAUCCAGCAGCUGUUAAAGAUUUAUCGAUGUAAGCUGGGCAUGCGUCCAAUUAGCUAGUUGGUGAGGUAACGGCUCACCAAGGCAAUGAUUGGUAGGGGAACUGAGAGGUCAAUUCCCCACACUGGCACUGAGAUACGGGUCAUACUCCUACGGGAGGCAGCAGUAGGGAAUAUUGGGCAAUGGACGCAAGUCUGACCCAGCCAUGUCGCGUGCAGGAUGAAGGCGUUAUGCGUUGUAAACUGCUUUGAUACAGGAAGAAACGACUCUUGCGAGAGGCAUUGACGGUACUGUAUGAAUAAGCACCGGCUAACUCCGUGCCAGCCGCCGCCGUAACAC
rnacentral:rRNA from 1 species